UACGAGUCGUCUUUUAGAUGACGAAGUGGUUGAUGCCAUGCUUCCAAGAAAAGCUUCUAAGCUUCAGGUAACCAGGAACCGUACCCCAAACCGACACAGGUGGUCGGGUAGAGAAUACCAAGGCGCUUGAGAGAACUCGGGUGAAGGAACUAGGCAAAAUGGCACCGUAACUUCGGGAGAAGGUGCGCCGGCUAGGGUGAAGGAUUUACUCCGUAAGCUCUGGCUGGUCGAAGAUACCAGGCCGCUGCGACUGUUUAUUAAAAACACAGCACUCUGCAAACACGAAAGUGGACGUAUAGGGUGUGACGCCUCCCCGGUGCCGGAAGGUUAAUUGAUGGGGUUAGCGCAAGCGAAGCUCUUGAUCGAAGCCCCGGUAAACGGCGGCCGUAACAAUAACGGUCCUAAGGUAGCGAAAUUCCUUGUCGGGUAAGUUCCGACCUGCACGAAUGGCGUAACGAUGGCGGCGCUGUCUCCACCCGAGACUCAGUGAAAUUGAAAUCGCUGUGAAGAUGCAGUGUAUCCGCGGCUAGACGGAAAGACCCCGUGAACCUUUACUGUAGCUUUGCACUGGACUUUGAGCCUGCUUGUGUAGGAUAGGUGGGAGGCUUUGAAGCGUGGACGCCAGUUCGCGUGGAGCCAUCCUUGAAAUACCACCCUGGCAUGCUUGAGGUUCUAACUCUGGUCCGUAAUCCGGAUCGAGGACAGUGUAUGGUGGGCAGUUUGACUGGGGCGGUCUCCUCCUAAAGAGUAACGGAGGAGUACGAAGGUGCGCUCAGACCGGUCGGAAAUCGGUCGCAGAGUAUAAAGGCAAAAGCGCGCUUGACUGCGAGACAGACACGUCGAGCAGGUACGAAAGUAGGUCUUAGUGAUCCGGUGGUUCUGUAUGGAAGGGCCAUCGCUCAACGGAUAAAAGGUACUCCGGGGAUAACAGGCUGAUACCGCCCAAGAGUUCAUAUCGACGGCGGUGUUUGGCACCUCGAUGUCGGCUCAUCACAUCCUGGGGCUGAAGCCGGUCCCAAGGGUAUGGCUGUUCGCCAUUUAAAGUGGUACGCGAGCUGGGUUUAGAACGUCGUGAGACAGUUCGGUCCCUAUCUGCCGUGGACGUUUGAGAUUUGAGAGGGGCUGCUCCUAGUACGAGAGGACCGGAGUGGACGAACCUCUGGUGUUCCGGUUGUCACGCCAGUGGCAUUGCCGGGUAGCUAUGUUCGGAAAAGAUAACCGCUGAAAGCAUCUAAGCGGGAAACUUGCCUCAAGAUGAGAUCUCACUGGGAACUUGAUUCCCCUGAAGGGCCGUCGAAGACUACGACGUUGAUAGGCUGGGUGUGUAAGCGUUGUGAGGCGUUGAGCUAACCAGUACUAAUUGCCCGUGAGGCUUGACC
rnacentral:rRNA from 1 species